GAUGAACGCUAGCGAUAGGCUUAACACAUGCAAGUCGAGGGGCAGCACAAGGUAGCUUGCUAUCUGGUUGGCGAGCGGCGCACGGGUGCGAAACGCGUAUGCAACUUGCCCUAUACAGGAGGAUAACCCGGCGAAAGACGGACUAAUACUGCGUAUGCUCACAACUUGGCAUCAAGUGGUGAGGAAAGAAAUUCGGUAUAGGAUAGGCCUGCGUCCCAUUAGCUUGUUGGUGAGGUAACGGCACGCCAAGGCAACGAUGCGUAGGGGAACUGAGGGGUUGACCCCCCACACCGGUACCGCGGCCCGGACCACUCUCCUACGGGAGGCUGCGGUGUGGUCUACUGGUCACUGGACGCGAGCCUGACCCCGCCGAGUCGCGUGAAGGAGGCCUCUCUUCUGGAUACUCAGCUUCUUUUGUACGAGAUUUACAAGAGUCACGUGUCACUUCCUGCAUGUACCGUAUGAAUAAGCAUCGGCUAACUCCGUG
rnacentral:rRNA from 1 species